rnacentral:rRNA from 1 species
AAUCAAGUGUCUUAAGGGUAUUCGGUGGAUGCCUUGGCAAUG